rnacentral:rRNA from 1 species
UGGGGAAUUUUGCUCAAUGGGCGCAAGCCUGAAGCAGCGACGCCGCGUGGAGGAUGAAGGUUCUUUGAAUCGUAAACUCCUUUUGCAGGGGACAAAGGCCCGCAAGGGUUUGAUGGUACUCUGCGAAUAAGCAUCGGCUAACUACGUGCCAGCAGCCGCGGUAAUACGUAGGAUGCAAGCGUUGUUCGGAAUUACUAGGUGUAAAGCGUCUGUAGGUGUUUUGAUAAGUUAAUCGUGAAAGCCUCUGGCUUAACCAGGGAAUUGCGAUUAAAACUAUCAGAAUUGAGUGCGAGAGGGGAAACUGGAAUUCCCGGUGUAGCGGUGAAAUGCGUAGAUACCGGGAGGAACACCAAUGGCGAAGGCAGGUUUCUGGUUCGUUACUGACACUGAGAGACGAAAGCGUGGGGAGCAAACAGG